rnacentral:tRNA from 1 species
GCGAGAUAGCUCAGUUGGUUAGAGCGUCGGAUUCAUAACCCGGAGGUCCCGAGUUCAAAUC